GACGAACGCUGGCGGCGUGCUUAACACAUGCAAGUCGAACGGAAAGGCCCUGCUUUUGUGGGGUGCUCGAGUGGCGAACGGGUGAGUAACACGUGAGUAACCUGCCCUUGACUUUGGGAUAACUUCAGGAAACUGGGGCUAAUACCGGAUAGGAGCUCCUGCUGCAUGGUGGGGGUUGGAAAGUUUCGGCGGUUGGGGAUGGACUCGCGGCUUAUCAGCUUGUUGGUGGGGUAGUGGCUUACCAAGGCUUUGACGGGUAGCCGGCCUGAGAGGGUGACCGGCCACAUUGGGACUGCGAGACGGACCAGACUCCUACGGGAGGCAGCAGGGGGGAAUAUUGCACAAUGGGCGGAAGCCUGAUGCAGCAACGCCGCGUGCGGGAUGACGGCCUUCGGGUUGUAAACCGCUUUCGCCUGUGACGAAGCGUGAGUGACGGUAAUGGGUAAAGAAGCACCGGCUAACUACGUG
rnacentral:rRNA from 1 species